AUUCAUUUUACAAAUUUAUAGUGUUAGAUAUUUUGAAAGUCGCCACUUCCAAAUAAUUUAAUAAAACGAGUUCAGUGUAUAAAAAACUGCUUCUGAUAGUACUAAAAACGCUGCUAACAUUCGCAAUUCAAAAGUGAAAAAUGAAACAUGAUAUUUAAUGCUACAUUUCUAAAACAAACGCUCUACUAAUGUAGAGGCCUUCCUCUUACGUGCUAUUAGAACAGAAUUCUGUUAAGCUUAUUCGAGCCAAAUGUCUGUCAAAGCAACGUCCCAGUGCACCUUAAAUAAGAACAUAAGACAUUUUACUAGCGAGAGGAGGAUUCAGCCCAUCUUGCUCGUUUUGUUGUUAAAAAUAUUGUAAAGAAAGUAAUAUACAAAAGACAACCAUUCUGGCUACUAUAAUAAACUGUUAGCACUUUUUAUUGCUUUCAUGCUGAACCUGCAGCCAUCUGCAUUGGUGUGUUUUUGCAGUGUGACUCAGAUGCUUCUAAAGGUCCUGUGCUUUCCUCUGCAGGUGAAACGUCACAUUGAUCCUAUUAUCUGCAGGGAAACUGAUAUGCUGGCAAUGCAGUCUGUUCAUCCUGGUCUUUCUACUGCUCAUGCAUGCAAUUCAGAAUACAGGAUUUUCACAGCUAUCACAUUACAUGCACAUAAAAUACGGAUUACAACAAAAUCCAAAAUCGCUAACAUUUUUGACAUGCUGUAGAGUUUUAAUGACACAUGUCUGCAGUGUAUUUUUGCAGCUUCUAGCAAAUGCACUGUAAUGAUGAAAUAAACAAGCAUCAAUGAACUCCCUUUUGAUCAGCUUCUAGCGCAUUCCUGUUUUAUUUGUUAUUUUUGCUAUGCCUUUUUUUAUAAGUAAUACGCACUGGGGAUUCACUUACUUAAAAUUAAACUAAAAGACCUGAAGAAACUACAGUUAAAGAAAAAAGUAAACUUUGGCAGAGAUUGGAGUGGCAAUCUGUUUCAAUAAGUUGCUGGCAUUUCCUCCCUUGUUUUUCACUUCUUUAAAACUCUUUUGACAUUUUGGAUGUCUGCCUUCAACCAGAUUGCUGUUGUCAUCUGGCUGAAAUCCAAAAUAGUUCCACACCAAGCUUCUUUCUCCUGCAUUCGCCCAUUACUGCUGCAGUAAUGACGUUUUCUCAGAACGCGCAGGGUAGUUGGCCACAUCCAAUAAGCGGAAAUUAAUAAGCUUAGUUCAUAUUGUUUUUAAAGAAAAGGUAAGUACGGUUCUGAGUUUGUCACAAUGGAGCCAGGAGGACAGAGUGAGGAAUCUAAAGUUUACAGACCAGGAGCUAAAUGUAUUAGCAGAAGAAGUGGUGGGGAAUUCUGAAAGGCUUUUUGGUGCUGAACCAGCAGGAACAUUAACUUCAAUGAAGAGGGCCAUCUGACAAAACAUUAAGGACAAAAUAAAUGCGCUUGGGGUCUGUGAGCACAGCCUGGAACAAAGCGCUGGACAGAUGCCAAGAGAAAAACUAAAGAGAAAUGCCCUCACAAUCGUGCCGCAGCAUCUGCCACUGGAGGUGGACCCUCACAACAACUGGAACUCACCUCGUAUGAGACCGUCAUUGUGGCCAUUCUGCAGCAACAGCUUGUCGGGGGUGUCCACGGGGGCAUUGACACCAGCAGGACCCCCGCGGAGCCAGCAAACCAGGGUGCCAACACUGUCUCCACUUCUAAGAAGACACACACUGUCGCAAUGAAUCGCAGUCCAGACACCUGCACACCAUCUCCACCAGUUAAGUCUUCAAUGGGACUCCGUAUGAGGAGGGGGGGUGUCUUGCCCCAAAGACUCACAACGUCCUGCGAGACAGUCAAGGUGGAGAAAGUAAUUGUUAAUGGAACAUUGAUGUUUAACUCUGCAAAUCAAAUAAAUGUUUGUUUGUU